rnacentral:rRNA from 1 species
AUUGAACGCUGGCGGCAGGCUUAACACAUGCAAGUCGAACGAGUGGCGGACGGGUGAGUAAUGUCUGGGAAACUGCCCGAUGGAGGGGGAUAACUACUGGAAACGGUAGCUAAUACCGCAUACCAUCGGAUGUGCCCAUAUGGGAUUAGCUAGUAGGUGGGGUAACGGCUCACCAAGCCGACGAUCCCUAGCUGGUCUGAGAGGAUGACCAGCCACACGGGGACUGAGACACGGCCCAGACUCCUACGGGAGGCAGCAGUGGGGAAUAUUGCACAAUGGGCGCAAGCCUGAUGCAGCCAUGCCGCGUGUAUGAAGAAGGCCUUCGGGUUGUAAAGUACUUUCAGCAGGGAGGCGUUACUCGCAGAAGAAGCACCGGCUAACUCCGUGCCAGCAGCCGCGGUAAUUC